CCAGACUCCUACGGGAGGCAGCAGUGAGGAAUAUUGGUCAAUGGGCGGAAGCCUGAACCAGCCAAGUCGCGUGAGGGAUUAAGGCCCUAUGGGUCGUAAACCUCUUUUGUCAGGGAGCAAUGGCGUCCACGUGUGGGCGUAUGGAGAGUACCUGAAGAAAAAGCAUCGGCUAACUCCGUGCCAGCAGCCGCGGUAAUACGUAGGUGGCAAGCGUUAUCCGGAUUUACUGGGUGUAAAGGGCGUGUAGGCGGGAGAGCAAGUCAGACGUGAAAUUCCAGGGCUCAACCCUGGAACUGCGUUUGAAACUGUUCUUCUUGAGUGAUGGAGAGGCAGGCGGAAUUCCGUGUGUAGCGGUGAAAUGCGUAGAUAUACGGAGGAACACCAGUGGCGAAGGCGGCCUGCUGGACAUUAACUGACGCUGAGGCGCGAAAGCGUGGGGAGCAAACAGGAUUAGAUACCCCAGUAAU
rnacentral:rRNA from 1 species